rnacentral:rRNA from 1 species
GGCGGCAUGCUAACACAUGCAAGUCGAACGAGACUUCGGGUCUAGUGGCGCACGGGUGCGUAACGCGUGGGAAUCUGCCCCUUGGUUCGGAAUAACAGUUAGAAAUGACUGCUAAUACCGGAUAAUGACGUAAGUCCAAAGAUUUAUCGCCAAGGGAUGAGCCCGCGUAAGAUUAGCUAGUUGGUGGGGUAAAAGCCUACCAAGGCGACGAUCUUUAGCUGGUCUGAGAGGAUGAUCAGCCACACUGGGACUGAGACACGGCCCAGACUCCUACGGGAGGCAGCAGUGGGGAAUAUUGGACAAUGGGCGAAAGCCUGAUCCAGCAAUGCCGCGUGAGUGAUGAAGGCCUUAGGGUUGUAAAGCUCUUUUACCCGGGAAGAUAAUGACUGUACCGGGAGAAUAAGCCCCGGCUAACUCCGUGCCAGCAGCCGCGGUAAUACGGAGGGGGCUAGCGUUAUUCGGAAUUACUGGGCGUAAAGCGCACGUAGGCGGCUAUUCAAGUCAGAGGUGAAAGCCCGGAGCUCAACUCCGGAACUGCCUUUGAAACUAGAUAGCUAGAAUCACGGAGAGGUAAGUGGAAUUCCGAGUGUAGAGGUGAAAUUCGUAGAUAUUCGGAAGA